UAAAGUAAAAAAAAUAACAUGGAAUUUAUACUUUUAAAGCAAUCAAUAUUUUCUUACAUGCUAGGGAAAAACAAUGUCUCAAAUUCUCAUGUUUAUUUAUGCUUUCAUCAUCUUUUCCUCACCAUUUUUUGUUGUAGCCAGUGAAACCCGUGUGCCAUGCAUACAUGACAAUGACUGUCCAGUGGCGAUUUUACCAAUGGUUGUACAAUGUAUUGAUAAUUUUUGUAAGUUCUGGAAUGCAUAUGAACCAAAGGAAGAAAGUUAGUCUAAUGAAAUUGGGUUUAUUCAUUAGAAUAUUUCACUUGCUUUCAGAAAAAUAAUAAUUUCAUUCUGCUAUCAUGGAUGAAUGUACUUACAAUGAAGUUCGUAAGAAUAGUAUAUAGGUAAUAAUAGUAUAUAGAGUAAUGUUAUUCAUACACCUAAUUGUUAUAUUAAUACUUACACUUAACAGUACUUUAUAGAAGUCAUUAAAUUUAGUUAAUGCAGUGUAAAAACUUAGUUAUUGCAGCAAUGAAGUUGGUUAAUGCAACAUCCAGAUAUUAAAAAUAAUUUUUAGCAGUCACCAAACUUGGUUAAUGCAGUGCAAAAACUUGGUUAAUUUGGUAAUAAAGUUGGUUAAAGCAACAUCCAGGUAUUAAAAAUAUUUUUUAGCAGUCAUCAAAUUUGACUAAUUCAGUGUAAAAACUUGGUUAAUACAGUAAUGAAGUUGGUUAAUGCACGUCCAGGUAUUAAAAAUAAACGUCCGCACAUGAAUAGUAUCUGUCCUUACAUGAAUAGUAUUCGUCCGUACAUGAACAGUGUCGUCCGUACAUGAACACUGUCGUCCGUACAUACGGUGUAGAGGAAUCUAUCAAUCUAAUUUAAUCAUUUGGUGAAAAUGUCGGCCUGCUGUGCUUCCCUUAAGCAAUGCCUCACUUCAAGUAUACCUUGAUUUACCUUUUCCCUUAAGAAGUGAAAUUUAGCUUCGAUGUGCUAACUCAUUCCAUGCAUAACUGGAUUCUUUGCAAGAUUUAUGGCAAACUUUUUGCCGAUCUCCAGCACCAGAGGCUUCUUCACUUCGACCUCCAUCUCUUUCAACAUAGAUCUAAUCCAAAUUGCGUGACACACAACAUAAGAUCCUGUUAUAUAUUCAACCUCACGCAAUGAUAAUGCCACCUCAUGUUGCUUUCUUGAGUAACAUGAGAUUUGGGCACCAAAUACUUGAAAGAAAUAGCCAGUUGUGCUUCUUCAAUCUUCCUUAUCUCCGCACCAAUCAGCAGA